ACGGACGGAAAAUGAACGGACGUGUUUUUAUUAAAGCGACGAACGGACUUGUUUUUAUUAAAGCGAACGGACGUGUUUAUUAUUGAACUUAAUACAAAUAUUACUAUUGCUCAAUUAAAAGAAAUUAUGGAUAUUCACGAAAACACAAUAAUGAAGUUAUUUAGCGACAGGAUUGAUAAACUAGAAAGCAAAAUAUUAGUUAUGCAGGAAGAAAAUAAAAGUUUAAAAAAUGAAGUAAGUGACCUGAAAAAAAGUGUUGAAUUUGUCAGUGACAAAUAUGAAAGUUUACUAUCGGAAAUAGAUGUUUCUAAAAAAAAAAACAAUGUCAUAUCAAUUGAACGAUGCAAAAAUGAAUUUAGGAAAUGAUAACGUUAUUAAAGAUAAGUUGGCUGAACUUGAAGAUAGGAGUCGCCGAAAUAAUUUGAGAUUUAAUGGUAUAGAAGAAAAGGAAAUUGAAACCUGGUAAGAAACUGAAGUUAAAAUAAAAAAACUUUUAAAAGAUAAAAUGGGACUAAAUGGUAAUAUUGAAAUUGAAAGAGCUCAUAGUGUUGGAAAAAAGGAGUUGGGUGAUAAAAGAAAAAAUAGUUGUAAAAUUUUUAAGCUUUAAAGACAAGAACGCGAUUUUGAAAAAGUUCGUAAAGGCUAAACUCUGGAAUGAAAAUGUGUUUAUAAACGAAGAUUUUAGAGAACGUACUAUGGAAAUAAGAAGAAAGUUAUUCGCGGAAGCAAAAGAGCUACGAAGAAAAAGAAAGCAGUUCUCGAUGAAAAGAUCUUAUAAUCUUCUGCGAGUAUCCGCGUUCUUCUUAUUUUAACGCUAACAAAAACAGAAGCUUAGUCAAUGUUUGGAACACAACAGGUCAUAAACUCCAAAGGGUACCCCAAGAAAUCUUUACGGUCAUAUAAAAGAGAACGGCGAAAAAGCAUUCGAAAGCAUCCUUACGGAUGUUAAAACCUUCCCAGAGGUGGCGUUGAGCCAAAGAUCUCUAGCUUCUGGGACAAGCGAGCUAACCACUGUGCUACGGCUACUUAUUAUCAGUCAUACCAAAUUUUUCAAAAUUUUCUGAAUAAUUUACCAUGAGAAUUUUAAGUCAAUAGUGAGAUCGCGAGAAUUGUAAUUUAACCGUGAGACGAAACCUAGAAAGUUGGAAGAUCUGCAAUUGUUACUUAAUUUUUUUUUUAAUAAUUAUUUAAAUUUUUUUUAAUUGCAAUUAUCUAUUCAAAAACUUAUGUAUAAACGUUUCUAUUUAGAAUGCGCAGUUAAUUCCCAGUUGGCAAGGUAUGUAAAAAAUACGUCUUUUAAUCGUCUUUUGAGCGUUUUGGACGUCUUUUGAACGUUUAAAAGACGCCAUUUAAGGUCCUGUGCCCACUGGGUUUAAACGAUUCUUAGUAACUAAAACUAAUUAAUUCAAUGAAACAAAUAGGCGAAGGUUGCAUUGGAUGAGCAAGUUCCUAAGAUAGUAUAACUUUAUUUACAGAUAAACUACUGAUAUUUUCCGAACCUUUUUGGCUAAGUAUAUUCAUACAAGUUUG
rnacentral:lncRNA from 1 species